CUUGACACACAUAAGAGGUCCAGCCUGCCCAGUGACUAAGUUCAACGGCCGCGGUAUCCUAACCGUGCGAAGGUAGCGUAAUCACUUGUUCUUUAAAUGAGGACUAGUAUGAAUGGCACCACGAGGGUUAUACUGUCUCCUUUUUUUAAUCAAUGAAACUGAUCUCCCCGUGAAGAAGCGGGGAUAAAUAUAUAAGACGAGAAGACCCUAUGGAGCUUUAAACAAUUAUAGCACUGGCCCACACCUCUUAUUCUUCUGAGAUAUAAUUAUUAUACAGGCCAACAUGACUAUUAGUUUUAGGUUGGGGUGACCGCGGAGCAAAAAUUAACCUCCACGUUGAACGGAGCUACUCCUGAGCUAAAAGCUACAACUUUAAGCACCAAUAAACUGACAUCAAUUGACCCAAUAUAUUGAACAACGAAC
rnacentral:rRNA from 1 species